UACAGAGGGUGCAAGCGUUGUCCGGAUUUAUUGGGCGUAAAGAGCGUGUAGGCGGUUAUACAGGUCCGCUGUGAAAACUCGAGGCUCAACCUCGAGACGUCGGUUGAAACCGUCUGGCUAGAGUCCGGAAGAGGAGAGUGGAAUUCCCGGUGUAGCGGUGAAAUGCGCAGAUAUCGGGAAGAACACCCGUGGCGAAGGCGGCUCUCUGGGACGGUACUGACGCUGAGACGCGAAAGCGUGGGGAGCGAACAGG
rnacentral:rRNA from 1 species